rnacentral:lncRNA from 1 species
UUUUUUUUUAAUUAUUUUUUUGGUGGUUCAAUUACCAACUACAGAUACCCCCAGUGCCCGUCACCCAUUCACUCCCACCCCCCGCCUCCUCCCCUUCUACCACCCCUAGUUGGUUUUUAAAAAAUACCAGUGUAAGGGCCCAAUGUUCAGGGCUUCACAUUCAGUAGGUUUAGAGUAGGGCCUGGCUUCAGUGCUUUAUUGAGGAUCUUCAGGGAUUCUAGUGUGCAGCCAGGGUCAGGAGGCUUUUAGUCCACAACCUGGAGGGACCCUAUUUGGAACCUUGAAGAAUAGCCUAGCAAAUAAGUUUCCUUUAAUCAUUAGUCCUGUGGAACAAUCUGAGUGAUGACCAAUUAAUAUAGAUUGGACAGCUGUGAAAGAGUUUCAUGCAAAUCAAUCUUGCGAACUCCGACAUAAUCAAAAGGGACAAUGAAUAAAAUGACACUUGACCCUUAGUGCAUAAAAGGGAGAGAAGGGUGACUUGAGUGGAUGUGUUGGGUGGGUGAGUGGGGAUUAAAAACCUGUCCUCUUGGCCGCUUAAAAGAAAGAGGCUUGGUCUUAACUGAGCAGCUAUCAAGUGUGAAGGUUUUGGAGAAGCUUGUCAUUUUAACAUAACCCAGGAUGAAAUGGAGUCCCCUUUGCAAUUCAAGUCAGCUUUCUUUCUCAUCACACGUAGCUUGUCCCCAGGUCUGAAUCCCUGCUGGGCUCCGGAGGAUGGGGGUGGGCCCAUGUAACACCUGAGUGGAGGCCCCAGGUGAGUGGAAGCUUGUGACCACUUCCAGGUCACAAGGCAGCAGUGUUGGUAAACUUCCAGAUAGGGCCAGCAGAGGGGAGGGACAGACUCCAGCCAUUCCUCUUAAUACUCUCUUUUGGGACUACAAGGAGACCUGAACCUUGUCUCUUCGAGAAGGAAAUCUGCACUUUAGAUGAGGCUGCAAAAAUAGGAAGAAGGCAUGUGUGAUUAAAUGGACUCUGCCCAUCCGAGGUACUCACUGGGGCAGCUGAACAAGCAACUUGAUGCCCUGCAGCCAGGUCUCACACUGCGACAGCAAAUGUUUCAUCAGGCAAACAGCAAGGAACUUUCAGGCUGUGUUCUUGAGACCUGAAAAUGUCCUCUGUGGUUUGGUGAACAAAUUAAGUCUCUUUAGAAAACGUGAAAAACGUUCUCUCAGCUGUCCAUGAACAUUUCAGUCUAGGGCAAUUUCCUUCCAAAAUAGAGGGCUGUUUCAUGACACACACAUGCCCUCCUGUCCAGUUAUCUCUCUUUCUUUGCGGGGGAAGUCAAUGUCACCGUGUCAGAUACCUUAAUACGAGCAGAACAAUUUCUUUUAUAAAAAAGAUUUUAUUUGAGAAAGAGAAAGCAAGAGACAGUACAGGCAGGGAGAAGGGAGAAGCAGGCUCCCCGCUGAGUAGGGAGCCCAAAGAGGGGCUCAAUCCCAGGACCCUGGGACCCUGAGACAGACACUUAACCAACUGAGUCACCCAGGUGUCCCUGAACAGAACAAUUUCUAAAUGUAGAAACACCAGUGAUGCACUGGUGGUGAGGCCACUGAGCCACUCAACGGAUGAGAGAAUCAUCCUCUUGAACACCUAGCUGGGUACCCAUGGUGAGUUCUUUUUUUUUCCCCUGGUGAGUUCUAAGAGGCAUAUCACAAAGCUGAUUUUCCCGUCUGUUGUAAGAUGUAAUCUGGAACAAGGGCUUCUGGAAAGUCAGCUUGCUGAUUCAAUAAUAAUGUGACUUCUUAUUCCACUUCGGCAACAGGGAACUUGGCAGGUCUCAUGCACGCCUCUUGAUGUUGAUGCUGCAGAUGAGUUAGUGUAGGAGUGAGCCUGUCACGUGCAUUCAAGUGGUAUCACUGAGUUCUGAUCUCUUAUGUUGGUCUUCAAGUGAAACUCUGGCCUACCAGUGUGAGAUGCUGUACUCUGCUACAGGAAGCUGAAGGAAGUCUAGUGGCCAAGAGUUAGCAACAACCCGUCUGAAUGCUGCUUUCACUCUGGCACCUGAAGAGAAUUUCCACCUUUCUUAGACCCUAAUAAGGACAAUAUACAGAGAAAUGCUCCAGAAAGCAAUGCUAGUCUCUAACAAGGAAAAACAAGUAGGUUCUUUGACAAUCUUUUCAAAACCAGACCUGGAAAUAAAACCCUUUUCCCAGUUUCAAUUUUUCUAAGUAGAGCUUUCUUUUUUCUUAACUAACAAACGUGUCACCUAGCAUGAGCAGAAAUUGUAAUGAACAAAACCAAAGUUUUUGAUGUUAGUUUUAUUUUUGUAAGCAGGGUAGAACCACAGCCCACAUGGAACACGUAGGCAGCCAGUCGUCUGCCACAUGAGCCUGGGAGAGGAUGAGAAGGAAGGUCUUCCUGUCCUGCCGCAUUUUGAAAAGCCCUGAGAGGCACAUGGAGACCCAAGAGAGGCUGCCUUCUAUUCAGGUGGCUGCCUUCUAAAAACGAUUAGCAGAAUUGCCAAAAUGUUAGGGUCAGUGGAAAAUUGCAGGGCCUGUGUAUGUUGAGGAAUUCAGAAAGAGGCUUGUAAACACCACAGAGCCCAGCACUUGCUGUCUGAAGCACUGAAAGAAGUGAAGACCCCCGUGCUACUGGGUGACGGUCCAACUGCCUGGACAUUUGGGGUGCACUUCAGUUGCGAUGAUGCCAGUCAUGGGCUUUGGGGAAGCAGAGGAAUGACUUCCCGUUGUGUGGGUGUUAAGUCUGUGGAUUUGGAAUGUAUCACUGAAAUCACUCGUUCGAAGAGUGACUUCACAGUAAGACCACCUCCUCCUAGGUUGUCUUAUCAUUUUUUUACAUAAAACACACCUGGUCCUUCUUACUUAGGCAGUUUCACUGUGUCCGAUAAAAUGAUUAAAUGGGAAGGCCACCAAGAUUCAUUUAAUAGCCGAAGAGCAGUUUUUAAAAAUAGUAUAGGAUGAAUUUAACGUGAGAUGACAUGACCUUCCGGGGAACUUUUUAAGAGCUUACACAAUGUAAUUGGGGAGAAUUUUGUCUUCUAUUUCCAUUCAUCAGUAGCAAACCAGUGGUCUUACAAAGAUUAAUGUUAUAGUAUGUUAUAGAAAUAAACAUGAUAUAUGAAAUAAAAGUAUGUUUAACUGUGAAAAAGUGAAGACUUGGAGUUAUCAGUAACCUUUAUGUGCACUAAGGAAAACUGCAGGUAGGCCCCCAAAGUGCUACCUUUCCCUAGCAUUUUAUUUACUGUUUGCCUUUGUGUAUAUGUUUUGAUUGAUAUUGUAAAGCUAGCUACAUGUUUUCCUGCCAUUGACCUAUAUUUAACACAUUUUUCUCCAAGCUUUUUUUUUUUUUUUUUUUACAAAACUCAAAAUAAAAAGAUUAACUGGCUGAGCUAAUCUUCUUUUGCAUUUUAAACAUAUCGUCUGUUAGUAGAAGAAUGCACUGUGAUCCUUUUCUUGGUGUUUUCUUUCCCUCACUGAGAGGUUCUUUUCUGAGUGGAACCUAUUUCUCUCUAGCUCCCUUAGACUGACAAAUUAAGGCUAGCUAGCCCCUCGGAUCCGGAUCCGGCUCACCAUCUAUUUUUGUAAAUAAAGUUUU